UACGAAGGGGGCUAGCGUUGCUCGGAAUCACUGGGCGUAAAGGGUGCGUAGGCGGGUCUUUAAGUCAGGGGGGAAAUCCUGGAGCUCAACUCCAGAACUGCCUUUGAUACUGAGGAUCUUGAGUUCGGGAGAGGUGAGUGGAACUGCGAGUGUAGAGGUGAAAUUCGUAGAUAUUCGCAAGAACACCAGUGGCGAAGGCGGCUCACUGGCCCGAUACUGACGCUGAGGCACGAAAGCGUGGGUAGCAAACAGG
rnacentral:rRNA from 1 species